rnacentral:rRNA from 1 species
GACGAACGCUGGCGGCGUGCCUAAUACAUGCAAGUAGAACGCUGAAGGAGGAGCUUGCUUCUCUGGAUGAGUUGCGAACGGGUGAGUAACGCGUAGGUAACCUGCCUGGUAGCGGGGGAUAACUAUUGGAAACGAUAGCUAAUACCGCAUAAGAGUAGAUGUUGCAUGACAUUUGCUUAAAAGGUGCAAUUGCAUCACUACCAGAUGGACCUGCGUUGUAUUAGCUAGUUGGUGAGGUAACGGCUCACCAAGGCAACGAUACAUAGCCGACCUGAGAGGGUGAUCGGCCACACUGGGACUGGGACACGGCCCAGACUCCUUCGGGCGGCAGCAGUAGGGGAUCUUCGGCAAUGGACGGAAGUCUGACCGGGCAACGCCGCGUGAGUGAAGAAGGUUUUCGGAUCGUAAAGCUCUGUUGUAAGAGAAGAACGAGUGUGAGAGUGGAAAGUUCACACUGUGACGGUAUCUUACCAGAAAGGGACGGCUAACUACGUG